GUUGACGGGGCCCGCACAAGCGGCGGAGCAUGCGGAUUAAUUCGAUGCAACGCGAAGAACCUUACCAAGGCUUGACAUACACCGGUAACGCCCAGAGAUGGGUGCCCCUUUGUGGUCGGUGGACAGGUGGUGCAUGGUUGUCGUCAGCUCGUGUCGUGAGAUGUUGGGUUAAGUCCCGCAACGAGCGCAACCCUCGUCCUAUGUUGCCAGCGGGUCAUGCCGGGGACUCAUGGGAGACUGCCGGGGUCAACUCGGAGGAAGGUGGGGAUGACGUCAAAUCAUCAUGCCCCUUAUGUCUUGGGCUUCACGCAUGCUACAAUGGCCGGUACAAAGGGCUGCGAUACCGCGAGGUGGAGCGAAUCCCAGAAAGCCGGUCUCAGUUCGGAUUGGGGUCUGCAACUCGACCCCAUGAAGUCGGAGUCGCUAGUAAUCGCAGAUCAGCAACGCUGCGGUGAAUACGUUCCCGGGCCUU
rnacentral:rRNA from 1 species